CCAGAAUGCUCCGCGACGGGGGCCGCGAGGUCCAGCCAAUCAGAGGGUCAUAAUGAGGUCGUUUCCGCCUGAGGAAAAAUCUGGGGGCGGGGCUUCCGGCCUUCUUUUCGCUCGCGGCUGUUCUGACUCGUCUGGGUCUCCCUGACUCCGAAACGCUGGCUCUGGGCCGAGCGACUGUCCUGUUAGGUCCGGGAAGAGUCGUUUUCCGCGUGGCGCAGAGGCGGGCCUGAGGUUCGCCACUCGGCACGGGCUUCCCCGCGCCCGGCCUGGGAUGGAGACCGUGGCGCCCGCGACCCCCUCUUCUCCCGCAGCUCCGCCCGCAGAGCUCGAUGGCGGCGGCCGCGCGGAGGACCCGCCUCAGGUCUCCCGUGAGAAGGGCAUUUCCCAGGCAGGACUCCUAGGGCAGAUCCAUCGUUCAUGAAGAGCCACCCCUGUGAAAUGUGUGGCCUCACAGACAAUUGGCACUUGGAUGAGCAGCAGCCAACACAUGACAGGCAGAAACUGCACAGGUAUGUGGCAUGAGAAACAAAUUUAUGUCAGCAUAAACCUUCAUUUUUCAGAAGCAGUGCAUUAGGGAGAAGCCCUUGGUGAGUGACGUACACAGAGCCUCGUCUGUAAACACCAUGUGUCAGGGGAGCCCUUUAUUUUCAGUGUAGUUGGGAACGACUUCUAGGCCAACGUUGAAUUUUUUGAGCAAUAAGCCACCCAUACCAGGGAAAGGUCAAGCAGCAGAGCUGACGGUGGGACAGCCUUUCAGAGGGAAAAACUCCUUUCGGGGAGAAUGCAUGAAAGCCUUUAGCUGCAAACAUACACUUGUUCAGCACCACCUCACUAGAGGAAGCAGUUUUUUUCCUUCAAUUCUUUUUGUUGUUUGUCUUUUUUUAGGGCUGCACCCAAGGCAUAUGGAUGUUCCCAGGCUAGGAGUUGAAUUGUAGCUGUUGCCACUGGCCUACGCCACAGCUACAGAAAGGCCAGAUCCCAGCCAUGUCUGGGACCUGUACCACAGCUCACGGCAAUGCCAGAUCUUUAACCCACUGAGCGAGGCCAGGGAUUGAACCUGUGUCCUCAUGGAUACUAGUCAGAUUUGUUUUCACUGAGCCUUGGUGGGAACUCCGAGGAAGCUACUUUAUGUGCAGUCUAAGUAAGAAAUUAUCUAGUGAAACCUGGGAGUUCCGGUUGUGCCUUACCAGUUAACGAAUCUGACUAGCAUCCAUGAGGACACAGGUUCCAUUCCUGGCCUUGCUCAGUGGGUUAAGGAUCCGGUGUUGCUGUGAGCUGUGGAGUAGGUCGCAGAUGUGGCUUGGAUCUGGCAUUGCUGUGGCUGUGGUAUAGUUGGCAGCUGUAGCUCUGAUUCGACCCCUAGCCUGGGAACCUCCAUAUGCUGCGGGUGCAGCCCUAAAGAGCUAAAAAAAAAAGAAAAGAAAAGAAUAAAAUCAUUUAUUUAGCAAAAGCUGCA
rnacentral:lncRNA from 1 species